UACAGAGACUGCAAGCGUUAUUCGGAUUCACUGGGCGUAAAGGGUGCGCAGGCGGCCAAGUGUGUGAGGCGUGAAAGCCCGGGGCUUAACCCCGGAAUCGCACCUCAAACUACAUGGCUAGAGCAUUGGAGAGGGUAGCAGAAUUCAUGGUGUAGCAGUGAAAUGCGUAGAUAUCAUGAGGAAUACCAGAGGCGAAGGCGGCUACCUGGACAAUUGCUGACGCUCAGGCACGAAAGCGUGGGGAGCAAAAGGG
rnacentral:rRNA from 1 species